GACGUAGGGCGCGAGCGUUGUCCGGAUUUAUUGGGCGUAAAGAGCUCGUAGGUGGUUUUGUCGCGUUGUUUCGUGAAAAACCGGGGGCUUAACCCCUCGGCGUGCGGGCGAUACGGGCAGACUGGAGUACUGCAGGGGAGACUGGAAUUCCUGGUGUAGCGGUGGAAUGCGCAGAGUAUCAGGAGGAACACCGGUGGCGAAGGCGGGUCUCUGGGCAGU
rnacentral:rRNA from 1 species